AUGCUCAAAGUUCUCCAAGCCAGGCUUCAGAAAUACGUGAACCGUGAACUUCCAGAUGUUCAAGCUGGUUUUAGAAAAGGCAGAGGACCCAGAGAUCAAAUUGUCAACAUCUGCUGGAUCAUCAAAAAAGCAAGAGAGUUCCAGAAAAACAUCUAUUUCUGCUUUAUUGAUUAUGCCAAAGCCUUUGACUGUGUGGAUCACAGUAAACUGUGGAAAAUCCUGAAAAAGAUGGGAAUACAAGACUAUCUGACCUUCCUCUUGAGAAACCUAUAUGCAAGUCAGGAAGCAACAGUUAGAACUGGACAUGAAACAACAGACUGGUUCCAAAUAGGAAAAGGAGUACGUCAAGGCUGUAUAUUGUCACCCUGCUUAUUUAACUUAUAUGCAGAGAGCAUCAUAAGAAAAACUGGGCUGGAAGAAGCACAAGCUGGAAUCAAGAUUGCUGGGAGAAAUAUCCGUAACUUCAGAUAUGCAGAUGACACCACCUUUAUGGCAGAAAGUGAAGAGGAACUAAAGAGCCUCUUGAUGAAAGUGAAAGUGGAGAAUGAAAAAGUUGGCUUAAAGCUCAAUAUUCAGAAAACUAAGAUCAUGGCAUCUGGUCCCAUCACUUCAUGGAAAAUAGAUGGGGAAACAGUGGAAACAGUGUCAGGCUUUAUUUUUCUGAGCUCCAGAAUCACUGCAGAUGGUGAUUGCAGCCAUGAAAUUAAAAGACGCUUACUCCUUGGAAGGAAAGUUAUGACCAACCUAGAUAGCAUAUUCAAAAGCAGAGAUAUUACUUUGCCAACAAAGGUCUGUCUAGUCAAGGCUAUGGUUUUUCCAGUGGUCAUGUAUGGAUGUGAAAUUUGGACUGUGAAGAAAGCUGAGUGCCAAAGAAUUGAUGCUUUUGAACUGUGGUGUUGGAGAAGACUCUUGAGAGUCCCUUGGACUACAAGGGGAUCCAACCAGUCUAUCCUAAAGGAGACAAGUCCUGGGUGUUCAUUGGAAGGACUGAUGCUAAAGCUGAAACUCCAAUACUUUGGCCACCUCGUGCAAAGAGUUGACUCAUUGGAAAAGACCCUGAUGCUGGGAGGGACUGGGGGCAGGAGGAGAAGGGGAUGA
rnacentral:lncRNA from 1 species